GGGUGACGAAGCGACGCCGCGUGGGUGAGGAAGGCCCUCGGGUUGUAAAGCCCUGUCAGGAGUUAAGAAAUGUAGAUACGCUAAUAUCGUAUCUAUUUGACAAAGGCUCCAAAGGAAGCCACGGCUAACUCUGUGCCAGCAGCCGCGGUAAUACAGAGGUGGCAAGCGUUGCUUGGAAUUAUUGGGCGUAAAGAGCACGUAGGUGGAUUUGUAAGUCAGAUGUGAAAGCCUUCUGUUCAACGGAAGAAUUGCAUCUGAAACUACAAACCUUGAGUAUAGGAGGGGAGAAUGGAACUUCUGGUGGAGCGGUGAAAUGCGUAGAUAUCAGAAGGAACGCCGGCGGCGAAAGCGAUUCUCUGGCCUAUUACUGACACUCAGUGUGCGAAAGCUAGGGGAGCAAACGGGAUUAGAUACCCCGGUAGUCCUAGCCGUAAACGAUGGGCACUAAGUAGAGG
rnacentral:rRNA from 1 species